rnacentral:rRNA from 1 species
UCGGCGCACCCAGAAACCCUUUGUGAACUUAUACCUAUUUGUUGCCUCGGCGUAGGCCGGCCUCUUCACUGAGGCCCCCUGGAAACAGGGAGCAGCCCGCCGGCGGCCAACUAAACUCUUGUUUCUAUAGUGAAUCUCUGAGUAAAAACAUAAAUGAAUCAAAACUUUCAACAACGGAUCUCUUGGUUCUGGCAUCGAUGAAGAACGCAGCGAAAUGCGAUAAGUAAUGUGAAUUGCAGAAUUCAGUGAAUCAUCGAAUCUUUGAACGCACAUUGCGCCCUCUGGUAUUCCGGAGGGCAUGCCUGUUCGAGCGUCAUUUCAACCCUCAAGCCUGGCUUGGUGAUGGGGCACUGCCUUCUAACGAGGGCAGGCCCUGAAAUCUAGUGGCGAGCUCGCUAGGACCCCGAGCGUAGUAGUUAUAUCUCGUUCUGGAAGGCCCUGGCGGUGCCCUGCCGUUAAACCCCCAACUUCUGAAAAUUUGACCUCGGAUCAGGUAGGAAUACCCGCUGAACUUAAAAAUAUCAAUAAGCGGAGG